CAACACGCCAAGUCGUAAGUCGUGAUUUUUACUGCAAAGGUUCAAGGACGAGGCCAUAUCAACCAUGGACUAGCCUGCACAAAACCCAAAUUUAAAUCCAAUAGAAAAUUUAUGGACAAUAAGUGGCGAAUUAUGGCACUGAAAUCAAACACUGUACAACAAUUGCAGGUCGUCAUUGAGUAGGAGUGGGAGCAAAUCCCGAAGGAUGUAUACACAAAACUUUUGGUCUCUAUGCACGGAUUGCCUGUAAUUUCACAUAACGAAUAUCCAACCAAAUAUUAAGUGCGUUGACGGCUUGAUACAGCUUUUUUAACUUUAUUUUCCUAAAAAUUAUUUUCAAGUGUAUAUUCCCAAAAUUAAAAACAUUAUUUGCCAAAAUAAAAUUUGAUUAUUA